ACUAUAUAAAAGAGACUAUUUUAAGAGCUCCUAAACUAUGCCACAUAGAUACAAAUAUUCCUGACCAAUUAAAAUGACAACUCAGCAUAAAGUUUAAGAAAAUCAGUAAACAGUAAAAGUAAAUCUGUAAAUCGACCAUUCUCCUCCUUAUCGAUUCAGUUUUUCCAGAUUUAGAUCAUACAUACCUUCUCAACUUCUUCUCAUUCUCUACCAGUUAACUUUUUCACUAUUUCAUAUUAACAUUUUCCAAAUCCUUUUCAAUCUCUUAUUUUGGCUCCCCCCCCCCUUCAUUCGUAUCUUCCAAGAAAAUCCAUAGCUCUUGGUUUUAAUUUCGGUGUUAUAGAAUUUUUAUUCCGUUCUGUGUUUUUUUUGGCUACAAAAUCUAUUCUAAUUUGAAAUUGAUCUACACCAGUGAGGAUCAGAGAUGAGUCCGAAAUGAAGGUGAACACGAAACUUAACAAUGAAAGAGUGACCUUAUGAACUUCAGAUUAAGGUUGAUGAUAAGACCGGUUCAAAUCUCCGAUGCUUACUUUAGACCUUUGGGUGUCGCUCCGCUAUGGCUUCUUCAUCUGUCAGUAUGUUCACCGUCUAUAUUCUAUCGCGUAUAUAUUUAUGUAUAUAUAUAGAAAUAUAUAUGUUUAAUCGACAAUUUAGAAACUUUGGGAAAAAAAUUCCUUUCCAAUGAUGUCUUAUGUUUUUGACUGAAUGGGUGAAAGUCAAAGCUAUCAAGGAAAUCCUAACCAUUAUGAACACACUGCUGCUUUGGGACAAAACUGUUAGAGAACGCCUUCGACGACUUUGGUAGCCCAUUACUCUAUUUGAGGAACAGGAAAUGGAGAGAAGAGGUGGGUUGGCUCGGCUUAUGGCUAGGCUUGAUAUUGGCGGCCAGUUGGAUAAACUGAUUUUUUUAAUCUUCAUGUGACUCAAAUAGUUUUCUACUAACUUGUGCGUGCAAAUAUUCAGUUCUUUCAAAAGUUAUUUUGUAAUAUAGUAAUUUACUUAAGAUAGAUAUGCUGGCCACUCCUGGUAGAUACCUAGCUUAUGACGAUCUUGACUUUUUCCUUCCCAUACGUUUGUUGACAAUUUACCUAUCUAUAUUGUGUUGCAGAUAAUUUAUAGUAACAUGUAUUUGUUGCACGAGAUCACUAGGAGACUUCCAGCUAAGACCAAAAAAAGCUCUUAACAAGUUCUCCUCUAUUUGACAUGUGGCGAAGAUAAGCUAUUUACAAAUUAUCCUCUACUUCUUCUGGUAACUAUGAAACUAAUUAGUUUAGAAUUCAGCUUAUACAUUUUGAGGAAGUAUGUCGGAUAUUUUGUAUAUUGUUCUUAGCUUAUCACUAUAUAGCCCUUGCUCUGACCAUUAUAUUUUCACAUAGGAAAACUGUAUUGGAUGAAACUUUGAUUUUUAUUUAUAUAUUUUAUUAUUUAUGUUUAAAUAUUUAGUUUAGUGAGGCCUAUAAACUGUAUAAUUGAUGAACUCAUCCAAACUUUACUAACAAUCUCAUUCAAAAUUAAUAUCUAGAAUUUUUGGAUGGAUUAUAAUUUGCAUUUGAUUACUUAAUCCAGCUCAUGCAAGUCAUCAAAUCAAACUUUUACAUCCAUUGCUAGAACAAUACAAACCAGCUAUUCAAGGAUUUUUUUUCUGGGAGUUACAUCAUGAAUGAUCUUCAUUAUUGUCAGGUGUCUACUCACAGAUAUAUGAAGACAAAAAAUAUAAAUGGUUUGUUUAUAUUACGUUUGGUGUUCUAUAUAAAUGUAAAUGAGCACCUUAUGACAACCACUGUACAACAGUGAUUAUAUAUAUCCAGUUUCCAGUUUUAAUUGAUGUGAUUCAGAACCUACGUUGGUCUGAGUUUAUCACUUGGUUGGCAUGUCUAUCAUAUGUUGCAGGAGCCUACAUUUUUUGUUUUAUAUAUUUUAGGAACCAAACACAAGGGGCAUAUUUUUGCUCCGUAUACACAAGCGGGUUAUCGACUUCUUCAGCUCUUUGGAUGUAGUGAAGCAGAUCACUUCAAUCACUAUUGAGCAUGGUACUGAAGACAAGUUCAACACAUCUGAUUCUUAGUGCAUACGUGGUUUAGUUUAUAAAUUGUCUUUGAAUUCCUACGACUUUGUCCUUUUUUGUUACAAGGUUCAGACUUCGUCUUCA